CACAGGACUCACUGCGGCAGGGACAAUCUCCCCUGGGCCACCCCCGAAACCCAAAGGCAGGGACUGGUACUUCUCCAGGGGGCAGGCCGCCCAGGGUAUCCCUCUGCAGGGCAGCAGCUGUUGGGGCCAUCGAAGCAAUGCGGGGAAGCCGCUCCAUGAAGGUGAGUCUCCCCUGACAUGCUUGCAUUGCAGUGAAUUUGUGUAGCAGUUCCUUUUACUGGGUGGGAGGCCGCCAGCACUCCCGACCCCUUCUGAUCCCCUUGGGUGUCGCCGAAGCAGGGACUCAUGGGCCAGGACAACCCCCACCGGCCCGGGGGGGGGGGGAGCGGGGCCGGGCCCCCCCUUCAACAUGUGCU